GUCCUUGCUUCAGCAACACAAAUACUAAAACUGAAAUGAUACAGAGAUCAGUGUGGUCCCUUCACAAAGAUGAUACGCAAAUUUGUGAAGUGUUCUAUAUUUUA
ensembl:snRNA U6 U6 spliceosomal RNA